AACUCUGAAUGCCGGAGUACUUUUGUAUGAAAUAGAAUUGUCUCAUUUGAAAUAUUUCAAAGAUUGAUAUAUAAUGUAGAAAAAGUCUCGUUGUCGUGUGCUGUUAUAUUGGCCUCAGUCAUUGCUCUUUCAUCAUAUUGCCCCCAUAUUACACAUUGCCAUCAGUCAUUGCUUUAUCAUUAUAUUGUCCUCAGUGAUUGUUCUGUCAUUAUAUUUCCAAUCAUCAUAUUGCCCUCAGUCAUUGCUGUAUCAUUAUAUUGCCAAUCAUCAUUAUUGCCCUCAGUCAUUGCUCUAUCAUCAUAUUGCCAAUCAUCAUGUUGCCCUCGGUCAUUGCUCUAUCGUUAUAUUGCCAAUCAUCAUAUUGUCCUCAGUCAUUACUCUAUCAUUAUAGAUGUAUUUCAUUAUAUUGCCUUCAGUCAUUGCUCUAUCAUUAUAAUGCACCCAUUCAUUGCUUAAUCAUUGUUUUGCCCUCAGCUAUUUAACACAAUAUAAUCAGCUGAUAACACGAAUAAAUGUUGUUACCUGAUUACUUUAUUCUACUCUUAUCUCUUGACCUUUAAAGCUUAACUGUUGCAUUGAAUAAGAAAAAUGUUCGGAAGAGUCUACCAGUGCCUUUUAUUCGCAGUACUUUUAGUUCUUGGUUGUGCUAGAACACCAGGACGCACACGGGCGAGCUGUACAGAUCGAUACGUAUGGAUAGCCGAUGGGUCUGUAGAUUGCAAAUACAUUGUGACAGAAUCUUUCUGGGGCUUCAUAAAGAUCCUCAACGUUGGUGUGACUAUAUAUUGACGGAUUGCUGUGAAACAUGCACCGAACUUAAGAACCAAGGAGUUAUAGGCUAGAAGAAAGAUCAUUUUGCUGUAAGGAGUUUGAUUUGUGUGUACAGAACGCGAAAAAAAUAAAACAAAAAUGAUUUGUCUAG